rnacentral:rRNA from 1 species
GAAUUAGAGAGUUGAUGCUGGUAGUCUGACUACAUGUGCUCGCUCUCCUAAUCCCACUUACACCUGUGCACUUUAACUUUGGAGGGAGGGUAAAACCUGCCUUCGAAAUUCACAAACUCUCUGUUUUUAAAUUAUGAAUGUUUAUCUGCCGCAAGGCAAAAUUUAAUACAACUUUUAACAACGGAUCUCUUGGCUCUCGCAUCGAUGAAGAACGCAGCGAAAUGCGAUAAGUAAUGUGAAUUGCAGAAUUCAGUGAAUCAUCGAAUCUUUGAACGCACCUUGCGCUCCCUGGUAUUCCGGGGAGCACGCCUGUUCGAGUGUCAUGAAACUCUCAAACAAAGUAGAUUUGUUUCUACCUCUGUUUGGAUUUGGACUCUGCUGCGUCAAUGCGGCUGGUCUUAAAUAUAUUAGCUGAUCCUAGCGAAGGUUUGGUUCUACUCAGCAUGAUAAUUAUCUGAUGUUGAGGACAGUCUUAGGACUGGCCAGGCUCUCUAUGGAUUGCUUCUAAUCGUCUUUGGACAAUCAUUCAAUAUCUGACCUCGAAUCAGGUGGGACUACCCGCUGAACUUAAGCAUAUC